rnacentral:rRNA from 1 species
UACAGAGGGGGCAAGCGUUGUUCGGAAUUACUGGGCGUAAAGGGCGCGUAGGCGGCCUGCUAAGUCGAACGUGAAAUCCCCGGGCUCAACCCGGGAACUGCGUCCGAUACUGGCAGGCUUGAAUUCGGGAGAGGGAUGUGGAAUUCCAGGUGUAGCGGUGAAAUGCGUAGAUAUCUGGAGGAACACCGGUGGCGAAGGCGGCAUCCUGGACCGAGAUUGACGCUGAUGCGCGAAAGCGUGGGGAGCAAACAGG